rnacentral:rRNA from 1 species
UGGGGAAUCUUCCGCAAUGGACGAAAGUCUGACGGAGCAACGCCGCGUGUAUGAUGAAGGUCUUCGGAUUGUAAAGUACUGUCAUUGGGGAAGAACGGUUUUCUUGAAAAGAUUGAGAAGACAUGACGGUACCCAAGGAGGAAGCCCCGGCUAACUACGUGCCAGCAGCCGCGGUAAUACGUAGGGGGCAAGCGUUGUCCGGAAAUUAUUGGGCGUAAAGGGCGCGUAGGCGGGCCUUUAAGUCCGGUGUGAAAGAUCAGGGCUCAACCCUGAGAGUGCAUCGGAAACUGGAGGCCUUGAGGACAGGAGAGGAAAGUGGAAUUCCACGUGUAGCGGUGAAAUGCGUAGAUAUGUGGAGGAACACCAGUGGCGAAAGGCGACUUUCUGGACUGUAACUGACGCUGAGGCGCGAAAAGCGUGGGGAGCAAAACAGGAUUAGAUACCCUGGUAGUCCACGCCGUAAAACGAUGGGUGCUAGGUGUAGAGGGUAUCGACCCCUUCUGUGCCGCAGUUAACACAAUAAGCACUCCCGCCUGGGGAGUACGGCCGCAAGGUUGAAACUCAAAUGAAUUGACGGGGUCAUAGCUG